CCAGUCGCCGCCGCCAGCGGAGCGGCCCGGGCGGGACGCGGCGGGAGCGCGCGUGUGCGGGACGCAGCGCGGGGGAUGCGCGCGGGCCGCGGAGGCGCCGCAACCAACAGGCGGCCGAGGGUGCAGCCGCGGGAGCGCCACCGCCAGUGGGGUGGGGGGCAAAGCUAUAAAGAAGGCCCAGAGGAUUCCUGCGGAGCUGUAUUUACUUUACAUCCAUGUGAACUGCUGUCAUCACUACUGUGUCCAAGCCCAGAGGAUGAACUGGAAAAGAAGAGAGGGGGAAAAUAAUAAAAAGAGGAAAUUGGUUUUCACAACACACUCAAAGCCUGAGUAACAGAGGAGAACUUUAAUUAUCUCCAGUCACAAAGAGAGACAGGAAAUUUGGACUUUUAAUUAGCCAUUUGGAGUGCAGUUGGGUAUUUUUUUAGCUAGAUAAUUUAAACGCGAAUAAUUCAAGUCUGACUAAAUGAAAGUCACAUAAUCAGAAUGCAAAUAAUUGAAUUUCUACUGCAUUCAUUAAUUCAGUGUGGAGGUGUGUGUGAAGACUACUAUGAUGAGCUGUCACAGCUCAAUAAAAUCUCAGUCAAUUAAUUUUUUCAUUAUCUUAGUAUUAUAUCAACAAAAAAGUGAAGUGUGUAUAUAUAUCUAUACACGUGCAUAUGUGCAUACUAUGUAUUAUAUAAAUACAUAUACAUUAAAUCAAAAUGCAAGGAAAUACCUUUCUGAAUCAUAAAAAAAAAAAAA
rnacentral:lncRNA from 1 species